UACGUAGGGUGCGAGCGUUACUCGGAAUGACUGGGCGUAAAGCGUGCGCAGGCGGUUUGCUAAGACCGAUGUGAAAUCCCCGGGCUCAACCUGGGAACUGCAUUGGUGACUGGCAGGCUAGAGUAUGGCAGAGGGAGGUAGAAUUCCACGUGUAGCAGUGAAAUGCGUAGAGAUGUGGAGGAAUACCGAUGGCGAAGGCAGCCUCCUGGGCCAAUACUGACGCUCAUGCACGAAAGCGUGGGGAGCAAACAGG
rnacentral:rRNA from 1 species